AUGAUGGUGAUACUCGACGAUGAUAAUAAUGAUGUCGUAGAAGAUGACGAUAACCUGUUGAAGACGUGGCAGGGGUUGGGAAAUCAUGUUAUCUUUCUAUUGCAGGUAGUUAUAGAAGUUUGUCAUCGUUUUGUGGGGCUGCAUUUCCUUCUGAUUCUUUAUGUUCUUAAUUUUUCUUGGACUGAGUGCAAACUUCAGUUGCUCGAUCAGGCAUUUAAGUUGUUGUUAGCAUGGUCAUUGGAAGCAUGA